GUGCGCCCCAAAGCUGACCGGUUGCGAGGCCGGGCGGCUGGGCCAUCUCAGCCCCCCGGGGCCACUGGAGGGCCGUCUCCACAGACCCGAGCAAGGGAGCUCCCUCACCACCACCCCGACCAGAGCCCUCGUCCACGUGUGAGACGCGGCUGGGGCCGAGGCUGGGGGCGGCGGCCGCGGGCGGACACGCCGGUCCGAGGAGCCGGGCCCUGCCGGCUGCCGAUGUAAACCUGCUCCCGAGAAGACAGAGCAGGGGCGACGCUGCCGAGGGGUGAGCACGGCCCAGGCGAGCACGCAGAGUCGGACGGAGGGCGGUGUGCGGGGCAAGUAGGGCUGACGGCCCUGAGCCUCGCCAGCCUCGGGGCGCUGAGAGCUGGGCCGCACCCCGGGUCCUCGGACUUUGCACACUACUGUCGUCCUGGGGCCACCAGGUACUCACCCGUCACUUCCUCCAAACACGCAGGAAAGGGUGUCCCGGUAUGCGGUGGUUUCCACCUUUCGCGAAGGCUCCCCUGCCCUGUGAUGGAGGCUCGGCGGUGGCGGGGGCUCCCCGUGGAGCCCGG